rnacentral:rRNA from 2 species
UGAAUUGCAGAAUCCCGUGAACCAUCGAGUCUUUGAACGCAAGUUGCGCCCGGAGCCUUCGGGCCGAGGGCACGCCUGCCUGGGCGUCACGC